rnacentral:rRNA from 1 species
GACGAACGCUGGCGGCGUGCCUAACACAUGCAAGUCGAGCGAGUGAAUCUCCUUCGGGAGUGAAGCUAGCGGCGGACGGGUGAGUAACACGUGGGCAACCUGCCUCAUAGAGGGGAAUAGCCUUCCGAAAGGGAGAUUAAUACCGCAUAAGAUUGUAGAUUCGCAUGAAGUAGCAAUGAAAGGAGCAAUCCGCUAUGAGAUGGGCCCGCGGCGCAUUAGGUAGUUGGUGAGGUAACGGGUCACCAAGGGGCCGAUGCGUAGCCGACCUGAGAGGGUGAUCAGCCACAUUGGGACUGAGACACCGCCCAGACUCCUACGGGAGGCAGCAGUGGGGAAUAUUGCACAAUGGGGGAAACCCUGAUGCAGCAACGCCGCGUGAGUGAUGACGGCCUUCGGGUUGUAAAGCUCUGUCUUCAGGGACGAUAAUGACGGUACCUGAGGAGGAAGCCACGGCUAACUACGUGCCAGCCGCCGCCGUAA